CUCUACAUUGUCGCUACUGUGUGUCUCCGACGAAGAACUCGACGCAAGUUUGGCUGGGCAAUACCAGGAAUCAUUUUCACGCCGGAAUCGACAACCCCGUGCGCCGCUGCUAUUCUCGUCGACGAAGAACUGUACUCAAGUUUUGCUGUGCAAUACUAGGAAUUAAUUUCACGACGUAAUCGACAAGGUGUUGCCUGGCCGCACAGAUAAUGAGAUUAGGCCCUUCAAAUAAGGUGAGUUUAGGCCGUUGAAAUCUUCUUUUACAGUUUUCGAUUCAGUUUAAAUUAAUUGGAUAAAUUUGAGCAUGCUAUAUAUAUAUAUAUAUAUAU